rnacentral:rRNA from 1 species
CCUGCGGGACGCCGGUUACUGGGGCGAGCACGUGCGCCAGCCCGUGCAAUUUCACGCGGGGGUGCGCACGCUGCUCGAUGCGCUCGACGCGCCGAUAUUUGUCGAAGUCGGGCCGGGGCGCGCGCUGGGCAAUCUGAUCGGCGGCUGGGCGGGGCUCGGGCCGCAGCGGAUCGUCUCGACGCUGCCGCACGCGCGCGAGCGCAGGGACGACAUGGCGGCGGCGUUGCGAGGCGUCGGCACGCUGUGGGCGCAGGGCGUCGACGUGAACUGGGCCGGCCUGCAUGCGCCGGGCGCGGCGCAUCGCGCUGCCGACCUAUCCGUUCGAGCGUACGCGCCACUGGAUCGAGCGGCCGGCGGGCGCGCGCGCGGCGCCGGCGCGCGAAGCCGACGGCGUGCCGAUGCGGCGCGGCGAGGACGCGGCCGACGGCAGCCUCACCGUGUCGUUUGCGCUGCACGAGCGGCUCUGGUUUCUCGAUGAACACCGGAUCUUCGACGGCGCGCCGGUGCUGCCCGGCACCGCCUGCAUCGAACUCGUGCGGCGCGCGUAUUCGCUCGUGCGCCCGGGCGCGGCGGUGACGAUGCGCGACGUCUAUUUUCCGACGGCGCUGAUUCUGUCGACGGACGAAUCGCGCAACGUGCGCGUCGUGUUCCGGCCGCCGGAACGCGUGUCGGACGGCGCGGCCGCCGGGGGCGACCUCGCGUUCGUGCUCGAAUCGAACGACGCGAACGGGCCCGCCGGAUGGACGCCGCACGCGAGCGGGCGCAUCGGGGACGAUCCGCCGGCGUGCGCCGCGCCCGCUUCGCUCGCCGCGCUUGCCGCUCUCGACGCUCCGGCCGCGCUGCGCGAGCAAUGGGGGCUCACGGCGCUGGACGACGUCGCCGCGCUGUCCGCGCAGGCGUUCGCCGAUUACGGGGCGCGCUGGCACGGCGUCGACGCGCUCUGGCUCGGCGAACGGGCCGGGCUCGCGCGGCUCAGGCUGCCGGCCGCCGGCAGCGGCGACUUGCCCGAUUUCGCGCUGCAUCCGGCCAUGCUCGACGUCGCCACGGCGUUCCUGCCCGCCUGCCUGCGCCCGCGCGACGCGUCGGUGCCGUUCCGCUACGAAUCGAUCCGCAUGCACCGGCCGCUGCGCGCCGAUUGCUACAGCUUCGCCGUCGAGACCGCGCCGAACGUGUACGACGUCACGCUGUUCGCAUGGGACGAGGCCGCGCGGCGCGCCGACGUGCUCGUCGCGAUCGGCGGCUUCGCGCGCCGCGAGCCGGCGCACCGGGCGCGCGACGUCGCGCAGUGGUGCCGCACGGUGAGCUGGCGCGACGCGCCCGCGGCGCGCGCGUUGCCGCCCGAGCGCUGGCUCGUGUUCGGCGACGAAUGGUUCGCGCUCGCGCCCGCCGGCAGCGUGCUCGUGCGCGAGGACGACGCGUUUCGCGCGCACGGCGACAACGGCUAUGGCGUGCGCCCGGGCGAGAAGGCCGAUUGCGACCGGCUGAUCGCGCGGCUCGCCGAGCAGGGCGGCGUGCCGGCGCACGUCGUCUACGGCUGGGCGCAGACGGACGUCGAUCGCGCGUUCGCCGGGCUCGCCGCGUUGCUGCAGGCGCUGGGCGCGCAUCCCGCCGAUUUUCGCGUGUCGCUCGUGACGAAGGGCGCGCGCUCGGCGCGCACGCUGGACGCAUGCGCGGCCGCCGCGCCGGCGGGCUUGCUCAAGGCGGUGCGCUGGGAAUAUCCGCGCAUCGUGUGCCGCCACAUCGAUAUCGACGAUGCAAGCGACGCGACGAUCGACGCGUUGCGCGCGGAGCUGUCGUCCGAGCCCGCCACGCCGCCCGGCGCGCCGCCCGAGCUGCCGAGCAGCAUCGCGCUCGCCGGCGCGCGCCGCGAGGCGCCCGGCUUCGCGGCGCUGCCGGACGUCGCGCGCGACGACGUCCUGCGCGACGGCGGUGCGUAUCUGAUCACGGGCGGCGCGAGCGGCAUCGGCCUCGAGCUGGCGGCGCACAUCGCGUCGCGGCGGCGGGACGUGAGGCUGGCGUUGCUGAGCCGCUCGCCGCAUGACGAAAACGCCGCGCGGUUCGCCGCGCUGGACGAGGCCGCCGCGAGCGUGCUGCGGUUGACGGCCGACGUCGCGCACGCCGCGCAGCUCGCCGACGCGCUGCGCACGGUGCGCGCGCGCUUCGGGCGCAUCGACGGCGUCAUCCAUGCGGCCGGCGUCGAGGCGAGCGGCCUGCUCGAAACCGGCACGCCCGACGCAUGGCGGCGCGUGAUGGCGGCGAAGGUUCACGGCGCGCGACACCUGUUCGACCAACUGGCCGGCGAUCCGCCCGAUUUCAUCGUGCUCUGCUCGUCGCUCGCCGCGGUCGUCGGCGGCCUCGGGCAGGCCGACUACGCGGCGGCGAACGGUUACAUGGACGCGCUCGCGCAGCACUGGCGCCAACGCGGCGUCGCGGCCAUCGCGAUCGAUUGGGAUACGUGGUCGGACACGGGCAUGGCGUUCGACCACGCGGCGCGCACGCGCCGCUCGAAUGACCGCCCGGGCGCGCUGCCCGGCCUCGCGAACCGCGAAGGGCGGGCGCUCUUCGAUCUCGCGCUCGCGCACGACGCGCCGCGCAUCGUUAUCAGCAAGCGGGGCUUCGAACAGGACCGGCGCGACGCGCCCACGCGCGCGCGGCGCGCGGCCGCCCCGGGCGACGCGCAGGCGGCGCUCGUCGCGCUCUGGCAGGAACUGCUGGGCGUCGAGCAGGUGGGCGUCGACGACGACU